rnacentral:rRNA from 1 species
CAAGCGGUGGAGCAUGUGGUUUAAUUCGAAGCAACGCGAAGAACCUUACCAAAUCUUGACAUCCUUUGACCGCUCUAGAGAUAGAGUUUUCCCCUUCGGGGGACAAAGUGACAGGUGGUGCAUGGUUGUCGUCAGCUCGUGUCGUGAGAUGUUGGGUUAAGUCCCGCAACGAGCGCAACCCUUAAGCUUAGUUGCCAUCAUUAAGUUGGGCACUCUAAGUUGACUGCCGGUGACAAACCGGAGGAAGGUGGGGAUGACGUCAAAUCAUCAUGCCCCUUAUGAUUUGGGCUACACACGUGCUACAAUGGACAAUACAAAGGGCAGCUAAACCGCGAGGUCAAGCAAAUCCCAUAAAGUUGUUCUCAGUUCGGAUUGUAGUCUGCAACUCGACUACAUGAAGCUGGAAUCGCUAGUAAUCGUAGAUCAGCAUGCUACGGUGAAUACGUUCCCGGGUCUUGUACACACCGCCCGUCACACCACGAGAGUUUGUAACACCCGAAGCCGGUGGAGUAACCAUUUAUGGAGCUAGCCGUCGAAGGUGGGACAAAGAUUGGGG